AUCUAGCGAUUUCGCGCCGGCCCGUGAGCCAGAGUCAGCUUCUGAAUCGAGCAUGGGAGAUGUGGGCGACGCGCCGCUUAGAAUCCAGUUGGCCAUGAACAACGGCUGUGAGCGCUGAGCUUGUCGGCGACCGAUUCGCAACAAUCAACGGGAAAAGACGACCCUCAAGCCGCCGGGUGGACAAAAAGGGUUCAUAUUGGGCGAGCCCCUAUCGAGUGUGCACCUUGUGCAGGAAGAGUAUGUGCCCUUGAAAAAAACAUUAAGAGGAUAUGCAGAGAAGAAAACUGAUACCCUAGUGGUACCAUCUGUUGGAUACAACUUUGAUUCAUUGGGAGAGCCAUACGACCUUCACAACCUAUAUUUGUGGGAAAUUGGAUUCGAAAUAAGAUACGAAAAAAGUAGGCUCAACGUCAAGAGAACCAAAUGUAUGCAGGAGAUAGUAUGUGGAUACUCGGGCAAACCAAAAAGAGGAAAUACACGCACAUGCCGCUGUGAGUGCCCUGCGUACAUAACUGAGCACAGGCCAUCACACAAUCAUGCUUUGAUAGAUAAAUGUGGUGAAAAGGUGUACUGACCUUCACAUAAAAAUAUCCAUCUAUAUACAAGAGACCUUGUUAAACAACUUAGAGAGAACAAUAUCAACAUUGAAAAAGUUUACAAUAUAAUUGGUAGUUUCUUCGGUUCAAUGAAUAAUGUGCCCUUGAGCUGUAUGGAAGCAGCAAGCAUCUCAAGUAGCACUGAAUUUCUACUAUUUCCCCUUUGUAUCCUGACUGCUCACUGCCAGCCCCCUGAUAUACAUUAUGUAUUGUCAGCUU